rnacentral:misc_RNA from 1 species
GAUGAUGAUGAUGAUGAUGAUUGGAGGCAGAACUUGAAGAACUAGAGGGGGCUGAAUUAGAGGAACAGCUCCUUCAGCCUGCUACAACCGCUCCUGUUGCGCCAAUUAAUCUUCCUGCUGGCAGGCAACAAGUGCGUCCUGCCGCUCAGAAGACAGAAGAAGAUGAGCUUGCUGCUUUGCAGGCUGAAAUGGCUCUUUAAACAGUUCUUGUUGCCUCCCACGAGACAGCGUAAAGGCUUGAUGUAUUCUUAUGGUGGAUGGAUAUACCUUUGGGGCUUUGAAUUCUUAAAGAUGCAUGCAGGAUCAGAAGUUACUGUAUAAAUGACAGCAGAUGAUGAGUUUACAUUCUGUGUGAAGUUGAAAGUGGGAAAAUUGUAUGCUAAUUUCGUGUGAAUUAUUAUGAAAAAAGAUGUUCUAAGAUAUACUUUUAAAUGAAUUUUCAAGACUUCUGUUGUUUACAUUAUUAUGAUCAGAAAAAACCUUCUAUAUAU